UUAAGGACAACAACAAAUCGGACUUGGAGUGUUUUUUAUUUAACAGUUAAAUAUUUUUUAAGCAUUGAACGAUUAGUGUGUGUGUUUACGAUGGAUUAUUAUAAUAUUAUGAAUGUGAAUAACAGUGUUGGGAUAUAAAACUGGAAUGAAACUGGUGAGACUGCAUUUUCGAUUUCGUUAAAAUGUCGAAUAAAGCGAUGUUUUGUUGAAUAGUUGAUAGAUUAAAUUUAAGAAAAGUGUAAGUGAAUUGUUCUUUAACUGUUCGAAUGAAUUCGAUGUUGAAUUAAAAGGGUAAUUUCUUUGAUUAAUAAGUCGUUCCUUUGUCAGUCGAUCAAAGAAUGUCUAUCCACAAAGAAUUGCUUGCUUACAUCCAGUGCUUUAAAAUGGAAGAGAUGGAUUGCGAUGAAGAAAUGUGUUCAGAAUUUUAACUCGUCAUGAAAGCAAAUUAAACUUUACGAAAAUAAACAUGGUUAUUACACAACUUCGUUUCAUGUGGUCUUGUGCAGAGAAGGAAACCCCAAACCUCAGAUGAAACCCCUCAUGCCCAGUGUGGUGACCAGGAACCAUGGAAACCAAAUUCACUAUUAGAACUAGCCCGGGUCAUCUGGUUCAAAACAGGAGUCGACUUUCCAAUGCGACAGCCGGAGAGUCGUUAUGGAAACACUCGAAUUUCCUUUGUACAUAAUAACAUAUAGUUAUGCGUUUCACGACAGGCAAUUAUAGAAUUAUAACAUAAAGAAACCCUUUAUACACAGUGUUCGCUUUGAUACAGGAUGGAAUUUCAAACAUUUUAAGAGUUCUUUCUGUUUGCUUUCAUUAGUGCUAUUACUAUACUAUACGUAGAUUUGGCAAAAUAUGAUAUUGACAUUUGUAUUUGUAACUAGAUUGAAUGUUUAAAGAAAUGUUUGCUCUCGAUGAAAUAUUAAUAUUUAUUGAAACAAGAUAUGUGCCCUAGACACUGAUGUCCACACAACACAUGUUUGGACAUAGACAAAUUUACUACUUACUCUACAGCGGCCACAAACACAAAGGGCCAUAAUUCAGCUAAAACUCUUCCCAGUUGAGAUCCCAUGCAUUCUUUACGAUCAUAUAACAGUUUAAGUGGAAGUUUGUGAAGUUAAAUUGAAAUUCACUGCGUAGUUACAAGGGAGUUAACAAAUGAAUACAUUUGGGACUACAUCAUUUAUAACGGAAAAACAAAAUCUAAUGGCCAUAAUUCUUCCAAAAACGCGUCACAGCCAAAUUCUUUUCUUAACCAUCAUCUGCACAUUAGGGUCACGCAGCGGUUGAAAGAGGAGUUGAAAACACAUACUUUUGUGACCAAUAUAUUAUACAGACAAAAGACAACAAUGCUGCCAAAAUUUCUUUCAGCAAAAGUUCCAUUCUUUUCGAUCAGCUGCACGUUAAUGUAACUGAGCUGUGAACGUCUGAGCGAGCAUUUAAAUAUGACUUGAAAACACAGGCAUGAGAUACGUUAUUUAUUUAACAACAUUUAGGUAAUUGAACUGUGAAUAUUUGAACAAGAUCCAACCAGUAAUUUAAAUUCGUUCCAACUUUCGUGAAUCUCGUUGGUUAAUUAGGUAGGAAUGCUUGGGCAUACUCUUUGUCCUCGCAUAAUUCAGUCUCAGCUGCGGAAGGACAAUUUAUGUACGUCAAAACACACAAAUAGGCUAUUUCGAGGGCCUUACCUCUUCCUGUGUGGGAAGGAUCUUGAGAAGGUUUCGGAGCUUCUCGGCGCCUAUCCGGUCACUCUGGCCCGCCUGCACGAGCGUCACGAUCUCCUCGUUGGCCAUACGGAACUGCUUGAGGAAGAUGUUCACGUUCAGACUGCGCUUUCCGUCCAGUAAGUUCACCUGGUAACAGACAAACAUCCAAAUUAUAGAGGAAUGGCGUUAUGAUCCAAACUUCGCAGAGCAAUGUCCUAUAAAAAUAUGUUGGGGCAUAAAUAAUAAUGGUAUUCGUAGGAGCAAAGCCUUGUCUUGUAUUAUUAGUUUGCCAUGGUCAGGCUUGCGGACACGCACGCACGAGCAUCUUAUGUUUAAAUAAAAACUUUAUUGUUUA